CAUGUUUCUUAUCAUCUAAAACUAAUUUUAUUAAUUUGUAUGAUCGAUUUGAAUAUAUAAAAAAAGAUUAAUAAUUUCGAAACCAGUCUCAAACAUGCACUGUUAGGAACCAGAAACUUAUAGCUUGCCCAUUUGUUGCUUAUGUUAUUUGCAGGGUUCUAUCUAUAAGCCAUCAAAGCUUCCACCUGCUCCACUAGAAAUAUGGGCAUAUGAGGGUUCUCCUUUUUGCAAACUUGUUCGUGAAGUGCUUGUAGAGUUGGAGUUACCACAUUUAGUACGUUGGUAAAGUCUCUUAUACCGUUCAUUUUUCAAGGCACACUAUUAUUAAUUACAUACACUCACUUAUUAAUAUCGUCUAGGAUCUUUGCAUAUAAAUCUUUGUCAAUAUGGCAAUGGCCUUUUAGGUGGUGUAAGCGGUAGAAGGAAAAAAGAUUACUGAGUGUGAAUAUUGAGUAUUAGUAAGAAAAUAUUGGGACUGAUAUUUUGAUAUUUUGAUAUUUCUACUAGCAACUAGGUCAUAACAUUGUUACUUAUCAAUUCAACCAUCUUGAUGUCUUUUACAGGGAGUUAUCACUAAACAAAUGACUGCAAUAGAUGAAAUGGUUGCAAGUGAGUACAAUUAGUCAGACCCUCAUCUUUGUGACAAGAUCUUGAAGUUGGUCAUUUGUGAAGCGUUCUACUUUGCUAUUAGUUGCAGUUUUAGUUAUUGCUCUCUCAAUAUAUUCUUUUUCUUUCUUUCUUUCUUUUUUUCCAAAGGAUGAUCAGUGUAAUAAUUAAGCUUCAUAAUUUCUGUGUUUGGAUCCAAGUUGUAUAUAAAUGUCACAUUAUUAAGAUUUCAUUUUGUAUAUGUACAAGUAAAAGAUUUCAUUUUUAA